ensembl:lncRNA
CCCAGGGCACCGUGACAGAGCCAUUUCCCUUCACAAGCCAACUCACAUGCUUCUGGAAUCUUUUUCUGGCUGUUAUGAACUGAAUUGUGUACCCCACCACCACCAAAGUUCAUAUAUUGAAGUCUGAAUCCCUAGAACCUCAGAAUGUGAUUAUAUUUGAAGACAGAGUCCAAAUAGGACACAGACACUCACGGAAGACCAUGUGAAGACACAGGAAGAAAGUGGCCUCCUACUAGCCAAGGAGAGAGGCUGCAUAAGAAACCAAACCUGCCAACACCUUGAUUUUGGACUUCCAGCCUCCAGAACUGCAUGAAGAUGUUGAAAAGUCUGAAGAAACAGGAUUUGCUUUUUCCUUGACAUCCAGAUACUAAAACCACAGCCAGAAUGGUGUUCACAACAAAGUACCAAGCUGGUGGCUUAGAUUUUUCUGAGGCAGGGAUCUAAUGCUUGAUGAUCUGACAAUCUGAGGUGGAGCUGAUGUAAUAAUAAUAAAAACAGAAAAGUGAAAGUGAA